GCCCCUGACUCUGGGAUAAGCCCGGGAAACUGGGUCUAAUACCGGAUACGACCACCGAUCGCAUGGUCUGGUGGUGGAAAGUUUUUCGGUUGGGGAUGGGCUCGCGGCCUAUCAGCUUGUUGGUGGGGUGAUGGCCUACCAAGGCGACGACGGGUAACCGGCCUGAGAGGGCGACCGGUCACACUGGGACUGAGACACGGCCCAGACUCCUACGGGAGGCAGCAGUGGGGAAUAUUGCGCAAUGGGCGGAAGCCUGACGCAGCGACGCCGCGUGAGGGAUGACGGCCUUCGGGUUGUAAACCUCUUUCAGCAGGGACGAAGCUAACGUGACGGUACCUGCAGAAGAAGCGCCGGCUAACUACGUGCCAGCAGCCGCGGUAAUACGUAGGGCGCAAGCGUUGUCCGGAAUUAUUGGGCGUAAAGAGCUCGUAGGCGGUUUGUCGCGUCGGUUGUGAAAGCCCACAGCUUAACUGUGGGUCUGCAUCCGAUACGGGCAGACUAGAGGCAGGUAGGGGAGCAUGGAAUUCCCGGUGUAGCGGUGAAAUGCGCAGAUAUCGGGAGGAACACCGGUGGCGAAGGCGGUGCUCUGGGUCUGUACUGACGCUGA
rnacentral:rRNA from 1 species